rfam:Brachypodium distachyon strain Bd21 chromosome 4, whole genome shotgun sequence.
UUACUACUCCCUCCGUCUCAUAUUAAGUGACUCAACUUUGCCCAAUAUGGAUGUAUUUAUAUUUAAAAAGCGUCUAGAUACAUGUAAUAUUUCGUCACUUAAUAUGGGACGGAGGGAGUAUAAA